AGUCAAAAGGAAACCGAGGGAAAACGUGCAAGAAUCGUUUUGAUGCUCAAAACAACACAUUUUGCUGCUUUAAUCUUGUGCUUCCCUAUACGACAGUUUAGCUUCCACGGUGGCAUUCAACGCGCUGUGAUUAAUACUGAAGGAAUAUCAUUCAGUGUUGUACCAUGGAUACAGACAUCCUUAAGCAGCAGGAACACCGGACAUUACUACGAGAGCGCUUCCUUCGUGUGAUGGCUGCCACGGUCAGACAAGAUGCCUUCAUUAAAAUGCAGGAGAAGACAAAUGUGUCCUGUAAACUUGGUCCGGUGGACUUUGACAUCCAGCAUAUCCAGGUCACUGAUCUCCGGACUCCAAUGGGAACGGUUCCAAAUGCAAUCCUGCGGACCUCGGAUAUCCUUGGAAUCCGUAUAGACAACCUCGAGCUGGACUGUUUAUGAUCAAAGUUGCUGUAAUGGAAUAGAUGAAUACCUGGAUCCAACAGUAUAAACUACAGCCAUGGUGACUUGUACAACAGACAGGUUCUGUCGAAGUGAAGAUUACGGUCAUAUGAUCAUGAACUACAGCCAUGGUGACUUGUACAACAGACAGAUUCUGUCGGAGUGAAGAUUACGGUCAUAUGAACUACAGCCAUGGUGACUUGUACAACAGACAGAUUCUGUCGGAGUGAAGAUUACAGUCAUAUGAGUUACAGCCAUGGUGACUUGUACAACAGACAGAUUCUGACGGAGUGAACUACAGCGAUAUGGUCAUGUGAACUACAGUGAUGGUCACUGGUACAAGAUAGGUGUAGCCAGAGUGUUUGUACAGCGAAAACAAAUUAACAAAUACUAAAUAAUAAAGAUGUACAACUAGAGCUAGGAUGUUUUCUUUGUGUAGUAUGAUUGUAUGGACGAGAGUUGCUCGUUGAUGAAAUAAGGACAAACUUUGUGGACUUAACUUCACUUUUGAAUACCUGUAUUUUAGACUUUCAGACAAAUUAACAUUUCAGUGAUAUGCAAAUGAUUUUCUUUAUAUUUUACAUGGUAUUCCAUCCAUCUUAUGUAGUUUUCUGUUUUCUUGAUAUCCUUUUUUCAAUUUCUCAAGGUAUCCAUUGGAUCCUGACAAAUCUUUCUUCACGUGUUCGCCUCAAUGGUGUAUGAAUAAUUGUAAUAUCUUCUUUGUCCAUGUUCAGGUGGUUUUGAUAUUAAAAUGUGACAUUUUCCCAUCUACAUUG